rnacentral:rRNA from 1 species
GUCUAUCUGCUCCAUGAAUAAUUUAAAUAGCUGCAGAAUUUUAACUGUACAAAGGUAGCAUAAUCAAUAGUUUUUUAAUUAAAAGCUGGAAUGAAUGAUUUAAUAAGGAAAAUUUUGUCUCAAUAUUAUUAAUAAUAGAAUUUUUUUUUUAGUUAAAAAACUAAAUUGUUUUUAAAAGACGAGAAGACCCUAUAGAUUUUUAUAUAUUUAUAUUUAAUAAAUUUAAAUUAUUUUAAUAAAAUUUUAUGUAAGUUUAUUUGAUUGGGGAAAUUAUUAAAUUUAAAAAAUUUUAAUAAAUAAAAAUCUUAAAUUAAAGAAUUAUUGAUCUUAUAUAUAUAUAUAUAUAUAUAUAUAUAUAUAUAUAUAUAAAUUUUAAGAAUAAAUUACCUUAGGGAUAACAGCGUAAUUUUUUUGGAGAGAUCUAAUUGAUAAAAAAGUUUGCGACCUCGAUGUUGAAUUAAGAUAAAAAUUUAAUGAAGAAGUUAAAUAA